GAUAAUAUCAUGGAUGUCUAUCUUUAGCAUUGUAGGCUCGAUCAUAUAAAUAAAAAUAGGAUAAAUAGGUUAAUCAAAAAAAAAAUCCUUGAUAUCAAUGAUUGUGAAUCAUUGUCGAUCUGUAAGUUCUGUCUUCUUAGAAAGAUGACCAAGUCACUCUUUAUUGGAAAGGGUGAAUGAGCCAGUGAUUUUCUAGGUCUAGUACAUAUUGAUGUAUGUGGACCCAUGAACACAAGUACCAG
rnacentral:lncRNA from 1 species